rnacentral:tRNA from 1 species
GGACGAGGUGGACGAGGCCGAGGCGGCGGGGCUCAGGACCGCGCUGGCGGCGUGGUUCGAGGCCGCGCGCGGUCUC